AUUUAUAUAGUUUAAUUAAAACAUUAUAUUUUCAUUAUAAAAAAAAGAACAUAUUCUUUAUAAAUA
rnacentral:tRNA from 1 species